rnacentral:lncRNA from 1 species
AGAGAGACACAGCGAGAGAGGGAACACAAGCAGAAGGAGUGGGAGAGGGAGAAGGAAGCUUCCUGCCGAGCAGGGAGCCCGACGUGGGGCUUGAUCCCAGGACCCUGGGAUCAUGAGCUGAGCUGAAGGCAAAGAGUCAACUGAAUUCCUCCCGUUGGUGAGGCUAAUCAAGGAAGAGGGAGAGAGGGAAGCCACAUCAGUUGCCCUGAAGGAAAAAGAAGGAGAAGUCAAGAUUUGGAAAGCUGGAGGUGAAACAAGUGUAGUUCAGCCCAUUGAGGGUGAAUUCAAUAAGCAAGGUUUUGGGAUAGGGAUACGGGUUAGAUGGGUUCAGUAACCUUAAUAUCAGUGUGGGACUCAUUUCAUAUAUUUGGCUCCUCAAGUUUUACUUCUGAUGUGCUAUGAGAAAAACCUGGUGGAUUUUGCAUUGCUCCAAUCUUUACUUUGAGUUUUGAAUGGUAAGUCUGAGUAGUUGUUUUAAGUGUGAAGAAGCAGCAUGGGUCAAGAU